UACGUAGGUUCCGAGCGUUGUCCGGAUUUAUUGGGCGUAAAGCGAGCGCAGGUGGUUUAUUAAGUCUGGUGUAAAAGGCAGUGGCUCAACCAUUGUAUGCAUUGGAAACUGGUAGACUUGAGUGCAGGAGAGGAGAGUGGAAUUCCAUGUGUAGCGGUGAAAUGCGUAGAUAUAUGGAGGAACACCGGUGGCGAAAGCGGCUCUCUGGCCUGUAACUGACACUGAGGCUCGAAAGCGUGGGGAGCAAACAGG
rnacentral:rRNA from 1 species